rnacentral:rRNA from 1 species
GAUGAACGCUGACGGCGUGCCUAAUACAUGCAAGUCGAGCGAAUGGAUUAAGAGCUUGCUCUUAUGAAGUUAGCGGCGGACGGGUGAGUAACACGUGGGUAACCUGCCCAUAAGACUGGGAUAACUCCGGGAAACCGGGGCUAAUACCGGAUAAUAUUUUGAACUGCGUGGUUCGAAAUUGGAAGGCGGCUUCGGCUGUCACUUAUGGAUAGAGCCGCGUCGCAUUAGCUAGUUGGUGAGGUAACGGCUCACCAAGGCAACGAUGCGUAGCCGACCUGAGAGGGUGAUCGGCCACACUGGGACUGGGACACGGCCCAGACUCCUACGGGAGGCAGCAGUAGGGAAUCUUCCGAAAUGGACGAAAGUCUGACGGAGCAACGCCGCGUGAGUGAUGAAGGCCUUCGGGUCGUAAAACUCUGUUGUUAGGGAAGAACAAGUGCUAGUUGAAUAAGCUGGCACCUUGACGGUACCUAACCAGAAAGCCACGGCUAACUACGUGCCAGCAGCCGCAGUAA